GUAGGGAAUAUUGCGCAAUGGACGAAAGUCUGACGCAGCGACGCCGCGUGAGUGAUGAAGGCCUUAGGGUCGUAAAGCUCUGUUGAAUGGGAAGAAAAAAAUGACGGUACCAUUCGAGGAAGGAUCGGCUAACUUCGUGCCAGCAGCCGCGGUAAUACGAGGGGUCCUAGCGUUGUUCGGAAUCAUUGGGCGUAAAGGGUGUGUAGGUGGCCAUGUAAGUCAGGUGUGAAAGCCCCGGGCUCAACCCGGGAAGUGCACUUGAUACUGCGUGGCUUGAGUACCGAAGAGGGUAGUGGAAUUCCAGGUGUAGUGGUGAAAUACGUAGAUAUCUGGAGGAACACCGGUGGCGAAGGCGGCUACCUGGUCGAGUACUGACACUGAGACACGAAAGCAUGGGGAUCAAACAGGAUUAGAUACCCCAGUAGUCC
rnacentral:rRNA from 1 species